rnacentral:lncRNA from 1 species
CCUCAUAAUUACCCUGAAUAUGUCCGACGACCAGCUAGGAGUCACUGCAAGCCCUCAAGUUUCAUAUACCCAGUUCCAUGGCUAUCCAGAGUCCUACAGCUAAGGCUUCAUAUUUGGCUUUAUUAUUUAUCACUGAAAACUUGAAGCGUAAGGCAUGCUCAGCUACUGUCCCUUCUGGAUCCAAGAGGAUCAGUUCUAUCUCGGAUCCUAUGGAGUUGGAUGAGCCAUCUAUGUACAUUACCCAAGAGUCAGUAUUAGCUUCUGAAGAGCCCUCGUCGGUCGA